rnacentral:tRNA from 1 species
UAGCAAGGUCAGCUAAUUAAGCU